CGCACCACGCGAGGAAAAAAACCACCGCAUCGCCCCGCGCGUGAAAAAAAAACAGCCAGGAUGCAGCGCACCACGCGAGGAAAAAACCACCGCACCGCGCGAGGGACGCACUCGACGGCCGUGCCGUCUCUUUCCUCCCCGCGCCGCCUGCCCCGGAUCUGGAGGAAGAGGAGGGAGGCAGGAUCUGGAGGAGGAAGAGGAGAUCCGGGCAUCCCGGCGGUGGCUCGACCGAUGCGAGGUGACGACGAGCUAAUGAGUGCCUCUUCGACUCCUUCCUCCGUCCUCGCCGCUGCCGCCGCUCCGACUCCUCUCUCCGUGCUCGCCGCCGCUGCCGCCUCUAUUUACGUCCUGCGGGAUGACGCCGCAGCUCCGUCUGACCGACCCUCAUGGAGGCGGUGCUGCCGGCCAUGAGCUUGCCGCCCCCCUGCUUCUGGUGACUAGCAGCUAAAGGAAGGAGAGGGGAGCUCGACGGAUUGCGUCUCAUACAGACCCACACGCCCCCUGACUUCGACAAGACCAGCAUUAUAGUAUUGACCCCUCGUCCGCCCCGGGUGCGGAGGCGAGCUUCCCAGCGACGGUGGCACUGGCUUGAGGCGGGGGAGCGGCUGAUGCAGGGUUGGAUCGAGGCAUGGGAGCGACGGAUGCGGGCGUCGACCUGCGAAGAGGCGAGAGGAGCGGUGGUUGCGGCGUUGAGCUGCGAAGAGGUGCCGCUCGGGCGCGAGACCACAGAGGCGGGAGCGGCUGCUUCGGGCCCCGGCCGUCUCAUUCACCGAUGACGGCCUCCUUGGCCUCAACAUCAAGGGCCGCCUUCUCGCAGAGAAGAACUUCAAGCUGAAGAGGAAGAGCGGCGCCGUCGAGUUCGCCUAGACCAUACUCGACUUCAGAAAGGGCCAAGACGUCAGGAUCAAGGCCGGAUACGAGCUCUAUCGCAAGGUACAAAGCUGAAAUGCUUGAUGAUGCGCCUCGUAUAUUCGAGGCUGUUUUCCAGUGUACCCUUGAGUUCUGCACUAUGCUCUGCUGGAUGUCGCCUAAGCAGAGGAUGCGGCAGUCUCGGCCACAUUUGGUUUUCCUAAGCUAAUGUGGGGUUUCUUUCCCUUAUAUUCUUGCAAGAUGUGGUAAUAUGUUUCAUGCCGUCUCCUGUUCGAUGAAAUGCCUGUGAGCUGAAACAUUUUGCAUUGCAUGUUUCUCUGCCUGUGCAGGUUCUUUGUUGGUUCGUUCGACCAUGCCGUUAACCAACAAGGCCUCUGAUCAUGUCUGCAGUGUGCGGCUAGGUUGUUCGUCCGUCUGGGUCGUAGGUUCUUUCCUUCCUGCCAACGGCGGGUACAAGACUCGAGCUUCUUUCCUUCCUGCCAACGGCGGGUACAAGACUCGAGCGGUUAAUGGGCAAGCACUAUAUGCACCAUUCAUCUAUGCUAAUAUAGCCUGUUUUGUAAAGCCAAUGUAUGCUAUCACCAAGUGAUCUGAAUAUUUUCUUUCAAGCAUCAAGCUUUCGUGUAAUGGAAUAUAAGUAUUUUAAGUUGAUUCUAAAUCAA